UCAGCAGUUGUACCACUGACGUC
rnacentral:miRNA from 1 species